UACGGAGGGUGCAAGCGUUGCUCGGAAUCAUUGGGCGUAAAGCGCACGUAGGCGGCUCGGUAAGUCGGAUGUGAAAGCCCUGGGCUCAACCCAGGAAGUGCAUUCGAAACUGGCGAGCUUGAAUAUUGAAGAGGGUCGCGGAAUUCCCGGUGUAGAGGUGAAAUUCGUAGAUAUCGGGAGGAACACCAGUGGCGAAGGCGGCGACCUGGGCAAAUAUUGACGCUGAGGUGCGAAAGCGUGGGGAUCAAACAGG
rnacentral:rRNA from 1 species